rnacentral:lncRNA from 1 species
GCAAAGUCUACAUUCGGCACAUUUACUAAAAGACGAAAGCAUACACAAAAUAAAAAAAAAUCAAAACCAUGGUUUGAUAGCGAAUGUAAGGAAGCUAGAAAAAAGUUUCGGUCUAGUAGACGAAAACUUAAGCGAAACCAUACUGACGACAAAGUGAAUGAAACAAAGAAACUAGAAAAGAGUUAUAAGCGAGUAAUGGAUAAGAGCAUUCGUAAACAUAGAAAGAAAAUUAGACACAAGAUAGAAAACUUAAAAUCGAUAAACCCGAAAGAAUACUGGAAAAUUUUGAACGGUGGUAAAAGGGGAAACAAUCCAUGUGUACCUAUUAAUAUUUUGUUUGAUUAUUUUAAGAAUUUAAAUUUAGGAAAUUCUGAAGAUGAAGAGAUUGUUUUAGAAAAUCAGAAC